AGGAUUAACGCUGGCGGCGUGCCUAACACAUGCAAGUCGAACGAGGUAGCAAUACCUAGUGGCAGACGGGUGAGUAACGCGUGGUCAACCUACCGUUGAGUGGGGGAUAACUAGCCGAAAGGUUAGCUAAUACCGCAUACGAGUCUCGGGGGCAUCCCUGGGCCUUAAACGGAGCAAUCCGCUCGAUGACGGGACCGCGUCCCAUUAGCUAGAUGGUGGGGUAAUGGCCUACCAUGGCUCCGAUGGGUAGCUGGUUUGAGAGAGCGACCAGCCACACUGGGACUGAGAAACGGCCCAGACUCCUACGGGAGGCAGCAGUGAGGAAUUUUCCGCAAUGGGCGAAAGCCUGACGGAGCGACGCCGCGUGUGGGAAGAAGGCCUUCGGGUCGUAAACCACUGUCGAAGGGGACGAUAAUGACGGUACCCUUGGAGGAAGCCCCGGCUAACUACGUGCCAGCAGCCGC
rnacentral:rRNA from 1 species